UAAUGAGAAUUAAAGUAUUAGUAAUUUAUUUUUGUUACUAAAAUUAAAUUCAGUUUGUUUCUGCAUAAAUCUUUUUAGUAGUAAACUACUUUGGAAUGAAUUUUUUUGGGGGACAACAGCAGGAUUAGGGCCAUCUUCUAGAUGCCAUCAGGUAGGUGCGCUAGCGUAGUCGUUUGUUGUAGAAUUAUAUCCCUUUUCCCCCUUUUUAAAAAAUGUUUGUAAGACGCCUGAAAUUUGUAUAAGUUAGUUCUAUAAGUAGUUGAAUAAGAAUUGGUGAGACUUGGUAAAUAGAAGAGGCCUGAGAAGAUGGAAGAGGAUUGCUUUGAAAUAGAAGGAAAGGAGAUAGAAGAUGUUUGAGGAAAGAAGGAGGAUUUUGUUGGCUGCAACGGAAGUUUUUUGAAGGAAAUUUGGAGCAACUGUAUUAAGAUGUUAUUGGUAUCUUGGACAUCAAGUUUUAUUUAUUUAUGUAUUAUACAAGCAUAUCUAUUGGUGGAAAUGUAGAAUGGCAGCUGUUAUAACAACUUGGAUGAAUUAUUAGAAACACCAAAGAAGUUUUGACAUAAUUUAAACUGGGAAAAGGCUCACAAAUGACUAGUUUAUUCUACAGUAGAUACAGGACAUUAAACUGACUUCAACAUCGCAGAUAUCUCUCAAAAAUUAUAUCUGUUCGAGUGAUGUACUGGGCGUUAACAGUUGCUGUUACAUAUCUGCAAAUGAGUUAGAACUGUACAUAAGUUUGAUGAAUGCCGGAGGAAUUUUUUGAAUGGAAUGAUACUGAAAAUCUUACCCACAAAUGACUGAUUGGCCUUCAUUACCAUUGCGCUAUGAAAAUGUAAGCAAUACAAAUUGGUAAUUGGUAUUAAUGGACGUUUUGACUGCUGUUUCCAGUCCAAGUUCCAGUUUUAAUGGAAAAUUUUUAAUGGACACAGACUUCAACACCUGUUGCCUUUUAAUAAUGGUAUACAAUGGGACAAUUGCUGUUUGAAGUCAACAAGUAGUACUAGUUGCAAAUAAUAUAUUAUGGCGGACAUCAAAAAGCUUUAAAUGGAAUUAAACUUGCAGAAAAAGACUCAAAAAGACCUGUACUUAAUAGCUGUUAGAGUGGAUGC